rnacentral:rRNA from 1 species
UGCCGACUAGGGAUUGGCAGGUGUUCCAUUGAUGACCCUGCCAGCACCUUAUGAGAAAUCAAAGUUUUUGGGUUCCGGGGGGAGUAUGGUCGCAAGGCUGAAACUUAAAGGAAUUGACGGAAGGGCACCACCAGGCGUUAAUGCUACAUAGCUCUAGCGCCCGAAAGUGGAACUGUGAAAGGGUCUGCUAGUGACUCCUAAUUGAGGAGUUGCGACACUGUCAAAUUGCGGGGAACUCCUAAAGCUGCGAGUACCAAGGCCAAAGGGAAACCUUUGAUUGCUGGCCGGGGAGAAAGACCCUGGGUAUGGUAACAACCUUGCAGAUGAAGUCCUCUUAAAGGGACUGAAAUGGACAAUCCGCAGCCAAGUCCUAAAGCUUCUAUUAGAAGCUAUGGAUGCAGUUCACAGACUAGAUGGCAGUGGGCUCCAGUAGUAGUGGAGCUUAAGAUAUAGUCGGCCCCCAUCUGAAAGGAUGGCCUAUCAGAGGAAGCCCUUAUGGGGCAGAGAGCUGGUAGGGAACCUUUACAUACAAAAGGUUCGGAGGAAGCGGGAGCCUGCGGCUUAAUUUGACUCAACACGGGGAAACUUACCAGGUCCAGACACGGGGAGGAUUGACAGAUUGAGAGCUCUUUCUUGAUUCUGUGGGUGGUGGUGCAUGGCCGUUCUUAGUUGGUGGGUUGCCUUGUCAGGUUGAUUCCGGUAACGAACGAGACCUCAGCCUGCUAAAUAGUCACGGGUACCUU